AGUGAACGCUGGCGGUAGGCCUAACACAUGCAAGUCGAACGGCAGCACAGUAAGAGCUUGCUCUUACGGGUGGCGAGUGGCGGACGGGUGAGGAAUACAUCGGAAUCUACUUUUUCGUGGGGGAUAACGUAGGGAAACUUACGCUAAUACCGCAUACGACCUCGGGUGAAAACAAGGGAUCUUCGGACCUUGCGCGAAUGAAUGAGCCGAUGUCGGAUUAGCUAGUUGGGGGGGUAAAGGCCCACCAAGGCGACGAUCCGUAGCUGGUCUGAGAGGAUGAUCAGCCACACUGGAACUGAGACACGGUCCAGACUCCUACGGGAGGCAGCAGUGGGGAAUAUUGGACAAUGGGCGCAAGCCUGAUCCAGCCAUACCGCGUGGGUGAAGAAGGCCUUCGGGUUGUAAAGCCCUUUUGUUGGGAAAGAAAAGCAGCAGGUUAAUACCCCGCUGUUCUGACGGUACCCAAAGAAUAAGCACCGGCUAACUUCGUG
rnacentral:rRNA from 1 species